GGGAGAGCUAGGCUGGCGCGCUAGUCCUGCGUUGUUACCGUGAGCGGACUUUACACGGAGCCGAAGCCCAAGGAAGGGUCAGUCUUGUUUCAACGGUCCUUGUUGUCUUUGUCGACGGUUUGUCCCCUGGGAUGGACUUUCUGGGAACCAGGUCAUUGGAGCUGGCCGCCGGAUUUCGGCGCCGAGCAGAACCAACCUGAGAGAUCCGGAAGGAAGCAGCCUUCACCAUAAAGCACCAUGUUCGGGGGGUCGCAGACCUGAGAAGCUACGGGGGUCAUACCGUUGAGGCUUGAUCGAUUCGACUGCGGGCGUGCCCC
rnacentral:SRP_RNA from 1 species